GCUGUCUCCACCCGAGACUCAGUGAAAUUGAACUCGCUGUGAAGAUGCAGUGUACCCGCGGCAAGACGGAAAGACCCCGUGAACCUUUACUAUAGCUUGACACUGAACAUUGAGCCUUGAUGUGUAGGAUAGGUGGGAGGCUUUGAAGUGUGGACGCCAGUCUGCAUGGAGCCGGCCUUGAAAUACCACCCUUUAAUGUUUGAUGUUCUAACGUAGGCCCCUUAUCGGGGUUGCGGACAGUGUCUGGUGGGUAGUUUGACUGGGGCGGUCUCCUCCUAAAGAGUAACGGAGGAGCACGAAGGUUGGCUAAUCCUGGUCGGACAUCAGGAGGUUAGUGCAAUGGCAUAAG
rnacentral:rRNA from 1 species